rnacentral:rRNA from 1 species
CCUUUCUAUUUUGAAAAGGGUUAGAUGAUUUGUUGGGGAGGGGUGUAAACAUAUGUGGGGGAAAUUUUUCCCCUAAAAAGGGUUUUGGGAAAAUAAUUUGGGGGGGAAAAAUUUAAAGGUUUAUAACCCGGGAAUGGGUUCUCCAAAAGGGAAGAAGAUUUUUUUCCCCUUUUAGAAGAGCCCCGCCCUUAGAUUUAGGUUUUUUGGUGAGGUUAUUUGUUCCCCCAAGGGUUCCGAUUUAUAAGUUGAUUGAGAAGGAUGUUCAACCCCAACUGGGACUGAGACACGGCCCCAGAUUCCUAGGGGAGGGCAGCAGUAGGGAAUAAUGGACAAUGGGGGAAACCCUGAUCCAGCAAUGCCGCGUGAGUGAGGAAGGCCUUCGGGUUGUAAAACUCUUUCAUCAAUGAUGAUAAUGACAUUAGUUGAAGAAGAAGCUCCGGCUAACUCCGUGCCAGCAGCCGCGGUAAUACGGAGGGGGCUAGCGUUGUUCCGAAUCACUGGGCGUAAAGCGUAUGUAGGCGGAUCAAAAAGUUAGAUGUGAAAUCCCUGGGCUUAACCCAGGAACAGCAUUUAAUACUAGUGAUCUAGAAUUUGGUAGAGGUUAGUAGAAUUUCCAGUGUAGAGGUGAAAUUCGUAGAUAUUGGAAAGAAUACCAGUGGCGAAGGCGACUAACUGGGCCAUUUUUGACGCUGAGAUACGAAAGCGUGGGUAGCAAACAGGAUUAGAUACCCUGGUAGUCCACGCAGUAAACGAUGAGUGCUAGUCGCUGGGACAAUAGUUUCAGUGUCGAAGCUAACGCAUUAAGCACUCCGCCUGGGAAGUACGGUCGCAAGAUUAAAACUCAAAUAAAUUGACGGGGGCCCGCACAAGCGGUGGAGCAUGUGGUUUAAUUCGAAGCAACGCGAAGAACCUUACCAGACCUUGACAUGGUGUGUUUGAAUUACAGAAUCGUAAUUCUUCAGUUCGGCUGGCACACACACAGGUGCUGCAUGGCUGUCGUCAGCUCGUGUCGUGAGAUGUUGGGUUAAGUCCCGCAACGAGCGCAACCCUCAUUUUUAGUUGCCAUCAGGUUAUGCUGGGCACUCUAAAAAACUGCCGGUGAUAAGCUGGAGGAAGGCGGGGAUGACGUCAAGUCCUCAUGGCCCUUAUGGUCUGGGCUACACACGUGCUACAAUGGUGGUGACAGUGGGCAGCAAUAUCGCAAGAUAAAGCUAAUCCUAAAAAACCAUCUCAGUUCAGAUUGGACUCUGCAACUCGAGUCCAUGAAGUUGGAAUCGCUAGUAAUCGUAGAUCAGCGUGCUAUCUGAACUGCCCCC